rnacentral:misc_RNA from 1 species
GAGAUCAUGCCCUUCGGGGUAGACCUCCCACCCUGUGUUAUUUACUCUUGUUGCUUUGGCAGGCCGCCUUCGGGCUCCCGGCUUCGGCUGGGGCGCGCCUGCCAGAGGACCCCAACUCUGUAAUAAAUGUCGUCUGAGUACUAUAUAAUAGUUAAAACUUUCAACAACGGAUCUCUUGGUUCU